AUGAAGAAGAUCAAGAGUGGAAAAGAGCUAGUGGAAGAAGUAAGGAAGAUUGAGAAGAACAUCAACGCUGGCAGCACUAUUUCUUCACAACUUGAGUUGAGUGUGGCUGAGAUAUCCAUGGUUACAUGUGAGGUUCCAGCACCUUCACAUUUCGUUGAGGAAGAUAGCAAGUGCCUUGAGCAAGAGAUACCUCAGAUUGAAGAAGAUGAACUAGAAGACAAGGAACAAGAUGGUCAAGAGCUGCAAUUCCCAAGUGAUCAAGUUGAAGACUCAUCAUCUAUUACUUCUGAAGAAGUACAAGAAGCUGCUGUAGAUGAAGAUGAAGAACAUGAGAUUCAUUUGCCUAUUGUCAUACCAGAGCGUGAUGUGUCAGGUUUACUCAAUCCUCUUGAUGACAUGAUGCCUUGUGAUUUCUUUGCUACCACCUUGCAUUACAUGAUACCAUCACUUAAGAUUGAUUUGAAAACUCAUUUGCUUGGAUAUGAUGAUAUAUACCCUGUUAGUGGCAUUACUCUCAUUUGCGAUGAUCAUAGUUACUUUCCUCGUGCUAGUCCUAUGCUUAAUGAAACACAUCAUUUCCAUGCUAGUCUUGAGCUUAAUGAUAAAUGUCAUCCUCGUGUGAGUAUUGACCAUGCUGAUUUCUGCCAUCCUAAACAUGUGCUUUAUAGUUAUGCUUAUAUAAUUGGAUAUACCAUUGAUGACUUGGAGGGCAUCGACCGUAUCACUUAUAGUUGUUUGUGUGAGUCCUAUUUCAGGCUUUUGCUACUGCACUGUUUACUACAUGCUGACCAGUUGGGUUGCUUGAGCCAGUUAUUACUUGUUGUCAAGCUGAAUCUCACCUUUGGCAUUGUGCUUGAUGUGAAUUUGUGA
rnacentral:rRNA from 1 species